rnacentral:lncRNA from 1 species
GGAAACGCCAUAUCGAAUGUUGACCGGCUUUUAAGUGAAUUAAUUGAUCUGAAAAAGGGGUUAAAUAAAAAUUUUUAAGGAUUUAUUUUAGAAAAUAUAUAAGAUUUUACAUAGAACUUUUUUUUUGUCAAGAUUAAGUCGUUUUAACGUCGUGGUCUCGUUAUGUCUGUUUUCUUUGGUUUUAAAAUCUUUCUCAGGAAUAUCAUAGAGCCCAUUUUUGUCAAAAAUUUUAAAUAAUU